rnacentral:rRNA from 1 species
GAUGAACGCUGGCGGCAUGCCUAAUACAUGCAAGUCGAACGAGAGACCUUCGGGUUUCUAGUGGCGAACGGGUGAGUAACACGUAGGGAACCUGCCCGCGCACCGGGAAUACGCUCUGGAAACGGAGAACAAAUCCCGAUGUACAGGAAGGAGGCAUCUUCUUUCUGUGAAACAUCCUUUCAAGGAUGGGGCGCGGAUGGACCUGCGGUGCAUUAGUUAGUUGGCGAGGGUAAAGGCCCACCAAGACGAUGAUGCAUAGCCGGCCUGAGAGGGCGGACGGCCACAUUGGGACUGAGACACGGCCCAGACUCCUGCGGGAGGCAGCAGUAGGGAAUUUUCGUCAAUGGGCGCAAGCCUGAACGAGCGAUGCCGCGUGAGUGAAGAAGGCCUUCGGGUCGUAAAGCUCUGUUGCGGGGGAAAAAAGGCAGGGAGAGGAAAUGGUCCCUGACUGAUGGUGCCCCGCCAGAAAGUCACGGCUAACUACGUGCCAGCCGCCGCAGUAACAC